GAUGAACGCUGGCGGCGUGCCUAAUACAUGCAAGUCGAACGCAUUGUGGUUGAAAUGAUAUGAAGAACUUGUUCAGAUUUGAUUUUAAACAUUGCAAUGAGUGGCGAACGGGUGAGUAACACGUGGGAAACCUACCUCUUAGCAGGGGAUAACAUUUGGAAACAAAUGCUAAUACCGUAUAAAUAAUUAAAACCGCAUGGUUUUAGUUUAAAAGAUGGUCUUGCUAUCACUAAGAGAUGGUCCCGCGGUGUAUUAGUUAGUUGGUGAGGUAAUGGCUCACCAAGACAAUGAUACAUAGCCGAGUUGAGAGACUGACCGGCCACAAUGGGACUGAGACACGGCCCAUACUCCUACGGGAGGCAGCAGUAGGGAAUCUUCCACAAUGGACGAAAGUCUGAUGGAGCAACGCCGCGUGUGAUGAAGGGUUUCGGCUCGUAAAACACUGUUGUAAGAGAGAAUGACAUUGAGAGGUAACUGUUCAAUAGUGUGACGGUAUCUUA
rnacentral:rRNA from 1 species